rnacentral:rRNA from 1 species
UACGAAGGGGGGCUAGCGUUGCUCGGAAUGACUGGGCGUAAAGGGCGCGUAGGCGGCUCAUACAGUCAGAUGUGAAAUUCCUGGGCUUAACCUGGGGGGCUGCAUUUGAUACGUGUGGGCUUGAGUGGGGAGGAGGGUCGUGGAAUUCCCAGUGUAGAGGUGAAAUUCGUAGAUAUUGGGAAGAACACCGGUGGCGAAGGCGGCGACCUGGUCCUUGACUGACGCUGAGGCGCGAAAGCGUGGGGAGCAAACAGG